CCUACGGGUGGCAGCAGUGAGGAAUAUUGGUCAAUGGCCGGAAGGCUGAACCAGCCAUGCCGCGUGAAGGUCAGUGCCCUAUGGGCGUUAAACUUCUUUUGUGUGGGAUCCAUAAUGGUCACGUGUGGCCAGACGAGAGUACCGUACGAAUAAGCAUCGUCUAACUCCGUGCCAGCAGCCGCGGUAAUACGGGGGAUGCAAGCGAUAUCCGGAUUUAUUGGGGUUAAAGGGGGCGUAGGCUGUUAGGUAAGUCAGCGGUGAAAUGCCCCCGCUCAACGGGGUGAAGUGACAUUGAUACUGCCUUGCUGGAAUGCGGAUGCCGUGGGAGGAAUGUGUGGUGUAGCGGUGAAAUGCAUAGAUAUCACACAGAACACCGAUUGCGAAGGCAUCUCACGAAUCCGCGAUUGACGCUGAUGCACGAAAGCGUGGGUAUCAAACAGGAUUAGAUACCCCGGUAGUC
rnacentral:rRNA from 1 species